rnacentral:rRNA from 1 species
GAUGAACGCUAGCGGCAGGCCUAAUACAUGCAAGUCGAACGGUGUCUUCGGACAUAGUGGCGCACGGGUGCGUAACACGUAUGCAACCUACCUUACAUUGGGGGAUAGCCUUUCGAAAGGGAGAUUAAUACCGCAUAAGACAGUAGCUGGGCAUCCAGCAGCUGUUAAAGAUUUAUCGAUGUAAGCUGGGCAUGCGUCCAAUUAGCUAGUUGGUGAGGUAACGGCUCACCAAGGCAAUGAUUGGUAGGGGAACUGAGAGGUCGAUCCCCCACACUGGCACUGAGAUACGGGCAAGACUCCUACGGGAGGCAGCAGUAGGGAAUACUGGGCAAUGGACGCAAGUCUGACCCAGCCAUGCCGCGUGCAGGAUGAAGGCGUUAUGCGUUGUAAACUGCUUUUAUACAGGAAGAAACGACUCUUGCGAGAGGCAUUGACGGUACUGUAUGAAUAAGCACCGGCUAACUCCGUGCCAGCCGCCGCAGUAAAAC